CCCCACCCGGGCACUCCUCCCAGCGGCCUCCCCAACGGGCUAUAAAAGCCCGCAGCCAGAUGCAGGGCAGCUUUCCUGCACCCUGGGCUUGCAAAGGUGACCUCAGGGACAGAAAUGCAGCUGCCAUAAACAUUUCGAGGGUCCAGCAACAGUCUUUAAAAAAAAAAUAGGGGAAGCGGUGAGAAAAUGAUCGAGCUGAAACUAGAAGGGACGCUGGAGACGCAGAAGGUAAUUAGCUGAUCUGGGAUUUGGCUGGGACUCAAGGCGCAAGGAGCGAUUGAAAAUGUUGGGUGUAUUUUGCUGAAUGUGCCUCGCCAGCCAAGCCAGCUGUCAGCACGAAGGUGCUUUCCAGACCAGGACACAUAUACUUCCCCCUCUAUGGGGAGAUUUGCAGUGACACAGUGCAGGUUUGUUUUCUGUUAGCGCAAGCAGAGAGGCGGGAAGCAAAAGAGACAGCUGCUCCAAAGAGACGGACAAACUGACUGUUCCUGACAAGGACGCUGCAAUCUGGCUAACUAGAGACCAGACGCAUGCAUAAUCCUCCGGAAAAUUCAUCUCGGUAAGAGGGCCUUGAAGGGGUAAUUAAAAUCCACCGAGUGGAGGCUGCACCUGUUUAGAAGGGAGUGUGCUGCCUGGAAGCGCAGCUGGGGAUCUCUCCAGGAAAAGCCAACCGCUUCCAAGACAGCUUGCGGCUACGCUCCUCGAGCCCCAUUCUCUCUGACUGGGCUGGCUCCAGCGUGCUCGCAGCCCAGUUGAGAUCCUGUCUGUAUCUGCGGCAAGUUUCAAGGGAAGCUAUGGUGGACUCCAGCACCGCUGCUUGCAACAGGUGCAACCUGUAGAGAGACAAUCAAUUCCUAAAUUAGUAUUUACUUACUGCACUCUGAUUGGCUGAUGCUCACUGUCCCCUGAGCCAAUCACAUAAGCAUAUCAGGGUUUAUUUCCCCUAUUGAAUUCUGAAGACGCUGGUUUCUGACCGCUGGCAACUUGACCCUUUUUUCCUAAACAUGUGCAUGAAUUCAGCAAUCUGAUUGGCCGGCACUGAAUCCACUGGGGAUCGAAUGAAGGUGGGAUUUCUGAUUGGUUCCCAGUCUCUGACUUGAAGGGGGAUUCCCCUGCCUCUGGUGGGGCUUCCCCGCCUUCUUUGAGUCCCAGUCACGGAUCUGUUUUAUCUUCAGGUGUUAGGUCUAGCGCUGUGCAGGGCGGAAUUUCCCCAAGUGGCACCAACCAAUCAACCAAAACAAAAUCUUCCAGGGGCUCAGUUACCCUAGGUCAGUAUUUGUCGGCUUGGCGACCCCCUUAUAUGAAGUCAAAAAUGUUCAUGACCCCCUGACAUUUACUGGAAAAGUAACAUUAAAAUAUCCCCCCUUCUCAUCUCCCCCCACCCCCAGCCAGCUGAAAAGCACCGCCCUGAAGUUUGAGAGCGUCUUCGAAGAGUUUUCUCAUCCCCUCUUCAAGUCACUUGGCUUGAAAGCGAGGCACAAGCCUAACACACACAUGGGUGUAGGGUCUUGUCCUUAUUCUGUCAAACACUCAUUGAUUUAAAAGGGAAUUUGUGUUUUAAAAAAAAAGGGGGGGGCAGAUUCUGAUGAUCUUAUGCUGAAUGGCUAUUAGCCAGGAUGGGCAGGGACGGUGUCCCUAGCCUCUGUUUGCCAGAAGCUGGAAAUGAACAACAGGGG